rnacentral:rRNA from 1 species
AGCGGCGGACGGCUGAGUAACGCGUGGGAACGUGCCCCAAAGCGAGGGAUAAGCACCGGAAACGGUGUCUAAUACCGCAUAUGCUCUUCGGAGUAAAGCUUUAUGCGCUUUGGGAGCGGCCUGCGUCCGAUUAGAUAGUUGGUGAGGUAAAGGCUCACCAAGUCGACGAUCGGUAACUGGUCUGAGAGGAUGAUCAGUCAGACUGGAACUGAGACACGGUCCAGACUUCUACGGGAGGCAGCAGUAAGGAAUCUUCCACAAUGGGCGAAAGCCUGAUGGAGCAACGCCGCGUGCAGGAUGAAGGCCUUCGGGUCGUAAACUGCUUUUAUAAGUGAAGAAUAUGACGGUAACUUAUGAAUAAGGAUCGGCUAACUACGUGCCAGCAGCCGCGGUCAUACGUAGGAUCCGAGCGUUAUCCGGAGUGACUGGGCGUAAAGAGUUGCGUAGGUGGUCAGUAAAGCGAAUGGUGAAAUCUGGGGGCUCAACCUCACAGACUAUUAUUCGAACUCACUGACUCGAGAACAGCAGAGGUAACUGGAAUUUCUGAAGUAGGGGUAAUAUCCGUAGAUAUCAGAAGGAACACCAAUGGCGUAGGCAGGUUACUGGGCUGUUUCUGACACUGAGGCACGAAAGCGUGGGGAGCGAACCGGAUUAGAUACCCGGGUAGUCCACGCCGUAAACGAUGGAUACUAGCUGUUGGAGGUAUCGACCCCUUCAGUAGCGAAGCUAACGCGUUAAGUAUCCCGCCUGUGGAGUACGGUCGCAAGACUAAAACAUAAAGGAAUUGACGGGGACCCGCACAAGCGGUGGAUCAUGUCCUUUAAUUCGAUGCUAAACGAAGAACCUUACCAGGGCUUGACAUCCAGGGAAU